CUCCUAGUAGCUCAGUUGGUUUAGAGCGUUCGGCUGUAAUUGUACAAGAUCACCGAAAGGUCACCUGUUCGACUCAGGUCUGGGAGA